rnacentral:lncRNA from 1 species
UUGAUUUGGUUUGCACGGUCUGUUUGCAAGGCAGUUAAAGUGAGGGGAUGUCUAAUAAGCCCAGGCUACUGGGUAAACAGAGCAGGACAGGAAGUUAUACUCUUGCAUGCUACAAGAGACCGCAACACAUGCAAACAGGGAUCAGGUGUCAACUCAAGGAUUCGUCCAAUUAGGAGUGUAGAACAACUAUCAUUGAGAUGCCUGCUACACUACUUUUAGAGAAUCUCAUUCUCAUCACAUUGUAUAAUAUGGUUUGGAAACACAGGCGAGAUGUGUACUUGUACUUGUAUGUACUGUACCUUUACAGGUCUGAUCCAUCAGUUGCAGUCAUGGGUGUGAAGGUUUUGCAGUGCUUUCCUUUUUACCGUCAUGGUAAAGGCCGCGGCAAAGGAAGACUGGGUCCUCCCCCAGCCGUACCAUCUGGGGAGGUGAAGCCGGAGUUCUCCUCAGCCUCCUGGGUGUGUGACACCGAGGGUGGCGGAGUGCGGCAGGUCUACCUCUCCCAGAAGGCCCGGAUCAGCUACCGGCACCAGAUGGAGGGCAACAUCAUCGACACCACCUAUUAGCCCGACUCCCCGACACCCUCCUGCCCACAUAGCAGCCUUCAGCACAGCAGUGCCCAGCAAGCCAUCCUUCCCCUAUCCUUCCCAGCACCCCUCAGUGACUUGGCCCCACUGUCUCUCCAUGAUGGCAGUUCAUCUGAAGGGACUUGCUUAUUUGCACUCCUUAGGAUAGGAACUGUCCAGAUGAUCAGGAAUAGUAACACUAAUUAGCUGUGAAUCUGGGCAGGAAAAAUAAAAACUAACAUUGACGUUGUUGAUGAUGUUUU